UACGUAGGGGGCAAGCGUUGUCCGGAUUUAUUGGGCGUAAAGAGCUCGUAGGCGGUUUGGUAAGUCUGGCGUGAAAUCUCCACGCUCAACGUGGAGGGGUCACCCGAUACUGCCAUGACUGGAGUCCGGUAGAGGAGUGUGGAAUUCCCGGUGUAGCGGUGAAAUGCGUAGAUAUCUGGAGGAACACCGGUGGCGAAGGCGGCAUCCUGGACCGACACUGACGCUGAGGAGCGAAAGCCAGGGGAGCAAACGGG
rnacentral:rRNA from 1 species